UUGUAAUAACGUGGACCUGUACGGACGUAUUCUUCUUCCGCAAUUUUCUACUUAUUACGAGGAGAAAGAGAGAGAGAGAGAGAGAGAGAGAGAGAGAGAGAGAGAUUUGAGGUCAGAUUGUUGAAAUAUACUUACAACGGACGAGAUGAGUCAACGAGGACGAGAGACAGGAAGGGAAGCAGACAAGACAAGGAAAGCGUUGCAGUUUCUGAGUACGGAUAUUUCAAAAUAUCGCACAUCUCACAAUCAAUUACGACGAAGAGACAUACAAAACAUAUACAAAAACACAUGUCACAAAACACGACUACAUCUACAACUACACAAAAACAGACAGCACCAUAUUAUUCACAAUCCCUAGUAUCAUCAUCCCUACAUACUCUAUCAUCACUCGCAUCUACACAAUCGCAUGAACAUAUGACCCCUCCACCAGCACCAUUACAGCAUAGACUUAUCUCAUCACAUUCACAUUCAACAGCCACCCAAUAAUUCACACGCAAUAUUUCUUCAGCAUCAAAAUCAUCAUUACAAACAUCACGCAAACAAACAUCAUUAAAUUUGUCCUUAUCAACCACAAAAUCAUUCUCACAAAACAUUCAUCCACCCUCAAAACCAUCACACAUAAACAGAUAUUAUCACGAUCACCACUAUCACCUGUACAACGCCGUCACCCAUCACCCGUCAGACAAGAA